rnacentral:lncRNA from 1 species
CAGGAGGGCCCCAAACCCUGCAGCAGCCUCUGCUGGGGAGGACCCUGCCAGCCAGAUUUCAAGGCCUGGGAGAAUCGGGGGGAACAUGCCUCGCGGCAGCUGUUAAGACCAGGGGAAUGGCAAAUGUGACACCAAAGAAAAUGCAAUGACCAGGGAAUUCACCAGCAACAAAGCCAGAGAAGCCGUUCGGGCACUAAAGGGAACCUGCGUUGGAAACACAGAUGAUCAGCCAAACACAUCCUUGUCAUUAACAGACCUUUGAAACUGAGUAAAAUGUCUUUGAAACGCCAGUGGAAUAUGAUAAAAGUGCCUGAGGAAGAAGACACGGUUCAGCAUGACGAAAGCGCCUGUGAGACCAGACUGGAAGCGAGGAACGGCAUUUACUGUCCUGCAGGUGGGACUCUAGAUGCACCUUCCUGUCCCUGCUGUGGGGGAUGGAGGAACGCAGCUACGUGAGCUCACUGAACUAGCCGAAGGCGGGGCGCCCCUCGUUUGCACAUGACCUUGAUGGAGCGAUUGGGCAGGCAGUGCUUGUCCACGGUGUUGGUAGUGACGCCCCAGCACUGUUGGGUGCUGCGCGGGGACCGUAGGUGACGCCCUGCUCCAACCUUCUGCUGCUCGCUGGUCUCCAAAUAUGCUGGACUUUUCUGCUUUUCUACUUUAAGCCAUUUCCACCC